rnacentral:snoRNA from 2 species
UCCCUCUCAGGGUCGCACCUGGAGAAUUUCCAGUACUUUACCAGUCUCGGCUACAGGAGGGAGAGCCAAGCAGAGGCAUAUCCAUUCCAUUCCUAGCUUGACCAGUGGCUAGCGAGUGGCAGGCCAUCUGCUACAAGU